rnacentral:rRNA from 1 species
AAACUUUCAACAACGGAUCUCUUGGUUCUCGCAUCGAUGAAGAACGCAGCGAAUUGCGAUCAGUAUUGUGAAUUGCAGAUUUUCGUGAAUCAUCGAAUCUUUGAACGCAUAUUGCGCCCACUGGUAUUCCGGUGGGCAUGCCUGUUUGAGCGUCAUUU